CUUGUCUUGGAGCUGUAGUAACAUUAAGUAGAGAGCUGCAGUUCAAUUUCAUUUGGGAUGUUUCAUGGGAAGGCAAUGGAUAAAUGAUGAAUAGAUCAGGAGAGCAAUGCAAACUGACCUAGGCUGGAGGAAAGAGGAACUGGAAGAAAGAUGUUUCCUAUUUUCUUGGAAGAAAACCUGAGAAGACCACAUGCAUGUCCAUGUAGAGCACUGUGGACAUCAUUGAUCACCCUGUAGAUGGGUCAAGGCCUCCUCACCAUGUGAAGUCCAUGCGCUGCUUUACUUUCCAAAUCUGGAUCCAGAGAUGCCAAACCAAACCAUUCACUGCACACCUUGCCUUGCUGUAAUUUACAUUUGGCAUCAGGAUGCAGAUGUACCAACUCUUCCCAACUUUUGAAAUGAAUGAUGAUGAUGGACUUCAUACAAAAAAGCAUCUAUCUUUUAAACUCCCACAGCUCCCCUGAGCCUACAGAACUGUUAAAAGUAAAUUUAAGGCCUUUAUCUUACCAUCAAUUCACGAAGACUGGCAGCGGUGUUUACGUGGAGUCCACAAUGUGCCACCAGGCUUCCAGGGAUUUGGACACACCCUUCACCUGGAGACAUCUGCUUGGAGCAGGUGGUGGAGACAGAACUGGGCUUUCUGCUGUUUGCUGCUGCUCUACUGUCCAGACUGCCUCAGAGCAUCAGAAUGUGAUGCUUCCCCAUGGUGAGAGGAGUCAAUUUCCUGCAUACAUUUGUGCAGACCAUUUCCAGCAAAUGUUGUUUAAGAUAUCCCUUUUUAUUCUGCAUUACAAGAUGCUGGAAUCACGGCAGCUUUCAAUUUCUGCAGUUCAGCUAAGAGUAGAAAUAAAUCCGCAGCUCGUCUGGCAUUUGUUGCUUCAUGUGAUACUACAAACUACUGAGAAAAAUCAGCAUUUCAUCUCCAAGUAUUUCCUUAACCAAUAUACAUGUCUGUUAAAAAUAUCUCCUAAGAGAAAAAUACACCAGUGUAUCUACACUUUGCUUCUCUGAAGAAAGCUCUGCAUAUUUAGGGAGCAUAGCUUUGCUAUCAGAGACACUGUCAAGUUAACUACAGAUACAUAAUUCUGAAAUGUUCUGCUCGUUUAAAAAUGUCUGAAUGUUCAUAUAUCAUUAGUAAGAAUACUGCAGUUAAUUAGUUACAUAGUUAGUUCAAAAAUGUUGUUGAAGCUUCAGUGCCAGCUAAAAGAAUGUUUUCAGGCUCUUUUCUCAGCUUUGUGAGUUUCUGUGCAACUCUAAGCCUCAGUAAGUUUUUGGGUAUGCAGUGUUAAUCUGAAGUAAUGUGAGUUAUGCCGACUCCCUCUUGAGCUACUGACCCAAGGCUGGAAGGCACCUCCGGAGUUAUUCAUUCCAACCUCCUGCCCGAGGUGGGUUCAAUGCCAAGUGCAGGUCAGGUUGCUCAGGGCUUUGGGCUGAGUAUGCAGAGUCCACAGACUUUCUGGUUCCUUGCUUCAGUGCUUAAUCCUAAUGAAGAGCUUUUUUUUUCCUCAUGUCCUUGUGAUUAUUGUCCCUCACCCUUUAAUUGUGCUUCUACAGGAGAAGCAUGGCUGCCUUUUCUGUAAUCUCCUUUCAGGUAGCGAAAGAGAACAACCCAAUUCCUCACCAGCUUUCUCAACUCCAGUCUGAGCAUCCCUAGUGCUUUCAGCCUCUCUGUGUUCAGGAUGUGCUCCAAUCCAUGCUGAUGGACUUUGGCUGGGCUCUCCCCCAGGAUGUCAGCAAACCAAGUUAUAUCUUGUUGGUCCCAUCAGGGAAGGGGAAAAGCUAUAUUCCAAAUUACCUCUGCACUAUGCACUUGAAUUAAGGAACAUAAAGGAGUGUACUGCACUGUGCAAGCAGCAGUGGACUGGCAUGAAGAUAGAUGGUGUCUGAGAUGAGAUGGGGUGAAGAGAAGAAGCAAGAGGGUUUUCUCCAUUGCAGUGAGUCAUGUAAAGCAAGAAAGCACAAGCAUUAAUCUCCAGCAGAUACCACCCGCAAGGUAAAAAGAUGUCAUCAGAGCUAAGAAUGCUUUAAAACUACAAUGGAGGAAAAAUGGGUAGAAAAUACUUCUGAAAAGACGUCUCCCACUGAUAAAAAGGCGUUUGACUGUUUUCAAGUCAUUGUUAUGAAGAACGUUUGCAGAAAAAACCUUGGCACUUGAUCUGAUUUCUCACAUUUCCCCCUCUGAACUCCACGCCCCUGAUGAAGAACCAGACAGGAACGGGACCGGCUGCUCUGUAUGGAGGAGGGCUACAGAGCAGUCUGUGAGAUGGUUCGCAUCACCACUUGCUGUACUGAAGGCAGCAGACAUAGAUGUUAAGCUCAGUGAAAAGAAACUGCAAUGCAGUGCAUCAGCAUCGGGAACAAUAAACAUAAAUCUGACACCUAAUAGUUCUUUCAGAGAAUUGAUUUAAAGUCUGGAUUAUUUCCCAUCCCGGGCAUGCAUCAUAUCCCCCAGCAGCAAACUGAAGGAUGUACCGUGACCCUAGUUACUACAGAAAUGUUCAUGGAUCAGAGACCCUGCAGUCAACCUUCUUGUUCUGACCAAUCAUUAACCAGGAGGAACAUUGUGGAGCUGCCGCUGCUUUUUCCUGAGUUACUUUAACAGACUGACCACAGGCAUGUUCCUUCGUCCUUAGAAGAGUUCCAGAAGAUUAGUCAGCUAAACCUGACAAGGCUUCUGGGAAGCUGGAAAGGACUUGGCUCAGCAUAUUAGGAACUAAGUGAUGAUGACAACCCUGUGGAUUUGUUCACUCCAUCCUAAAGAGGACUUCCCGUCAUAGUACUUUGUGCAUGGAUUUAGGAAAAUUUGAAUGAUUCAAGUAGAGAUCCAUGCGUCUCUCUGGCAUGUACUCCCCGAGGGAGCUGCAAUCAAAACUCCAGGGAUGGAAAGCCAGAGACAGAACCACAUGGAUGAAGCUCUGCAUUGCUCGAGAAUACCUCCUUCAGACACAUCAUCUUCUUCCCCUGCACUUGUCUUUCACGUACUUGAUUCUGGCAGUGGCAUUAUGAAGAACUACAGGACUGAAGCAGUAAUGACACUGAAACGCAGUCCUGAAAUGAGCAAGAACUGGAUUUAACACCCAAGUUUUCCUAGUGAGAAAAGUACCUCCAAAAAUUAAACCAAACCAAAGGUGACCUGUGUGUCUUGUGCAAGGAGGAUCAGCUCUGCUCCAGAAGCCACGGCUGUUUCACUGACUGUGACAUAGCGAAAACUAAACGGCUGGCAUAUCAGCCCACCAACAGACAGAUCACAUGCCUUCCACCAAUGAAGUGAGCUAUCUGAUGCUAGCCUUGCUGAAGCUUCAAGUCCCUGCUGCUCUCCCUUUCUUCAGAGAGAACUCCUGCCGGGUUGGUGAUGUUUGCUCACUCAUUGAAAUCACAGAGCUGGUCCACAGCUGCACAAGUUUCACUGCUGGGAGGCUGCCUUCUGCUAGUCGAGUACCAUGGGAAGGAUCAAGUGGAGGAGAGCUGCACUAAUCAGAAGACACGCUGUCUGGGAAGCAAGCCCAUUUUGUUCUUCCAGAAUCCCUCCCACUGCAAGCACCAGACCUCAAAAUGACCCAGAGAAAGCCUCUCCAAUCCAAGUAUGAGUGUUUUGGAGAACUAUCGUUUGAAGAAUGCAGCUGCUUUUCACUGGUUGGUAUCUACAUGUGUAUGGAGUUCUGUGCAGUGGUUGAAUGUGCAGCGCUUCGAGACCUUUCGGUACGCGGGGAGAUUAAGGAACCACAGAGCUUGAGAGAGAGGAGUUUGCAUCCCUUGUGAGAAUUCUGAUAUCCCUGUGUUCAUAUAUGUUGAUAUUCUCUUCUGAAUGGUGACCUGUUUACGUUGGAUGGAGCCUAAAGACCCAAAGACCCUGGAUAUCCUUGGACUGAGUUGCUUAAGGACACGUUGCUUUCCAAAGACCCUGAAGAAUGGUGUGCUACCAAGGAUUUUUCAGUCCCAGCUACAGAGUGUGAUCCCACCAGGCUCAGCAGCAGGAGAGCAGCAACUGGGCUUACUGGGUGGCCAUCCUCACUCCAGCUCUUGUGGCAUCCCCACAAAAGAUGGCAUCCCCAUCUUCACCCCAGCAUCCGUUGUGGCAGCAAUGGAUCCCAGUCUGUCCUUUGGCCUCAUUCAAGUGACAGCCCUCCAGGAGACCAAGAAGAGCGAGUAGAUGAUGGCAAAAGAGCCCCUAUUUUGUCAUCAUUUGCCUUUUUGCCCCAGGAGCACUUUUCUCUUGAACACUUUUUCUCCAUUACUUUAGAAGCUUUCUAGUCUUGAAAACAAUCUAGUCAUUUUUCUAGUCUUCAGAAGCUGGAUCCUGGUUGCAUUCUU
ensembl:lncRNA